UACGUAGGUGGCAAGCGUUAUCCGGAAUUAUUGGGCGUAAAGCGCGCGCAGGCGGUUUCUUAAGUCUGAUGUGAAAGCCCACGGCUCAACCGUGGAGGGUCAUUGGAAACUGGGAAACUUGAGUGCAGAAGAGGAAAGUGGAAUUCCACGUGUAGCGGUGAAAUGCGUAGAGAUGUGGAGGAACACCAGUGGCGAAGGCGACUUUCUGGUCUGUAACUGACGCUGAGGCGCGAAAGCGUGGUGAGCAAACAGG
rnacentral:rRNA from 1 species